UCUUCUUUUCCGUUUCCUCUUGCCAAAUCUGAACCCUAGACUCCCGAAUCCUCUCUGAAACAAGAAGCCGUCACUUCCGAUCCAAGAACUCAGAUCACGGAGGCGAUGGCCUUCUCUGAUCGACCGCUCCUGUUGCCUCGGCAUGGCGACGACUGGGGCGUUGGACAAUCUCCCGAUGCCAAGUCCUGAGGGAGAUUCCUCAUGCUUCUAAUGUCAGGUUGUGCUCGCCGAUGUUGGAAGGGGUUACCGCACCUGGAACGUUUGACGCACCAAGAGAAGGACAUGAUCGUGAAGCUCGAAGCAAGGUUGUGGAUGUCUUAUGGAAACCCAAACCCUUCACUGGCUAAGAAGCAGGCAUCAGCUGCGUCCUAGCUUCAUUUAUAACCAGCAGUACCUUCCAUCCUUAAUCAUAUUAUAGAU